rnacentral:lncRNA from 1 species
CUUUCAAUUGUAGGUAUUUAAAAAUUGUAACACGGGCCACCUCAUCAGACUCAGGUUCCUAUGCAUGUGAAAGUGGAAAGAAGGACAUGGAGAUUUUCAAAGGCACCUGGCAAGGACUGGGGGGGCUUGGAAAAUGAUCAGAAAUAAAGGAAUCUGGAGUUUCACCCCAGAAGGGACUCAUGGGAGAGGAAUUCGUGUGGGUGCUUGGAGCCAUCAUCCAGGAAAGAGAACAACACAAGUGAGCGGGCCUGGAAAAUCACAGCCAGACUUAAAGCAAAAAAGAAUUGUUAUACAAUUUUAGGGAAGUCAGCAUUUAAUUUGCAAGGUACGAGACCCCUGUAUGAGACUGUGCACAGCCGUAGCCCUGGAUUGAGAGGUGUGACAGCUGGAAGGCCACCGCCCCAUCCCAGCCUUGGUGUCCUGCCCGGCUGGCCUCAGACAAAUGCCAACAUUGUCAGGCCUUGGGAUAAACCCUGAUUUUUUUCUUCCUCUAAUAUGAAAAUCUAAUUUGGCAAAAAGAACAUUGGAAAGGGUUCAGUAGCCUCGACCCUGAUGUGCUCUGCUUUCCCAUCCAUCCUGAGAGUUAUUUGUGAAGAUCAAAUAAGAUGAAGAAACUGAGGCCUAGAGAAGUAGAGUAACUUGCCCAAGGCCACAGGCCUUGCAAAUAAAGGAGCUGAUGGAAGAGGUCUGCCUGAAAGGUUGCCCUUUUCUUUGGCAGUUGAUGGCAUGGCUAGUGCUCAGUCAUCUGGUCACCACAACUCUACUGAGCCCCUCCCCUGGGUGCUGGACUGGCUCUAACACUGUGCGAACAGACAGAGGAAGGCUCAUGCUUGUGGAGCCAACGUUCUAAGUUGGGGAAGAGUCAAUGUAUGAAUUUUAAAAACAGUAAAACAAGAUCAUUUCAGAGAACGGAAGACAACAGCAAGCACGGGCCACCUGUGACCACGUGGACCCUAGGACCCAAGAGCAUGGCCCUGGAGCUGCCUGGCCCUACUGGCCUAGACUGGGCCUCGGCCACGCGCUCCUCACCUUCACAGUGGCAUUGCAGUACCGGGCACAGCCGCUCUUCAGGCUCCCAAACCUGCCACUGUAGACACAUCUGUGUGUGAAGAGUGCCUGGAGAAAGCCAAGGAGGGAAAGCAUGGCAGUCAGCAUGUUUAGGUCCUCCAGGCACUGCACACCCUCUGCAGACACUUGCCAUUGUACUUCCAUUUCACCACUGACGUCAGGAGAGAGUGCUGGACCACACUAGCAGACCUGGGUCUACAUCAGAGCUUGGACACCCUUUUUUAGGCCUGUUCCCUUGUUGGUGGAAUACAGGCCAGAGUUUGCAUCAUCCAUGGCCCACAGAUCUUUAUUCCCUCUUCCAUGCCACAGCAGAUGUCUCUAAGCAGAAAAUAUUUUCUGUUCAUUCUGGAUACGGUCUAGUCUCCCCUUCCGAUCUAUAGCCAUCCCUAAGAUCUCCUACAGAGACAUUUUGGAGCCCCCAAAGGGUCUAUCUACACUUCAUUGAAAGGUUUGCCAAACAAAAUUGUGAUAGUCUGAGUUUUUCUCUUAGGAGUGGGGCAGAUUUAUAUGCAUCCUUCCAUUCUAACCAACAAUGCCCACUCAUAAUUAUCUAGAACUCAUGUUUACUGAGAACAUUUUAUGGGCCAGACACAUUGCACAGAUGAGUUCAUCAAUCUUCAAUUCUAUGUGGAUGUUUCUCAUGCCAUUUUUUAUAGAUAAGGAAACAGGCCCAGACAGGUUAAAUCAUUUUUUCCAAGAAACACUGAUAGUAAGUAUAAGGUCUAGAGAAUGGGUCUUAUCACGUACAGACUUUAGGAUCACAGUCAUGUAGCCUCUGUGGGCCUCAGCUGCCUAAUUUAUAAAAUAUCAAGAAAAUAUUGAUGAGACAAUAAUGCUGAUUUCAAGUUUUGUCACGAGAAUUUAGUCUCUGGUUCAAAUUUUGUUUUAGAUAAUUGUUGAUGUCAAGCUUAUCCCUUCAUCUUAGGCUGUUGCUCAAGAAGAGGGCAAUGAGACUUUCCUAGGCUAUAAAAUCCUAAAAUAUUAGCUAUAUGAAGGAAUUCUGAGGUCACUGAGGAAGGAGCACUACAGUCCUUUUGGGAAUCUCAGGAUAAUUAACCAGGUGUGGGUCACAGGAUUCCCGGGAUGGGUGAUUUGAGGGCUUCUUUUGGCUCCUACCCAUGUGUCUAAUUUCCCUUUCUUUUCCCUCUUCCUUCUCUUUCCCUGGGCUGAGACAAUCAUAGAAUGGUGAUUAAACAUGUAGAACAAAUCAUGGUUCUGCCACAUCAGCUGUGUGACCUUGUACAAGGUGGUUUACGUUUCCUUGCCUUAGUGCCCUAAUCAUACAUUGGUUAUGGUGAUAAUAUACCCACCUCGUGGGGCUGCUGCAUAAAGCAUUUAGAACAAUGUCUGGCACACAGCAAUCACUGUGACACCAGCCAACACAAUUUCCUCUUCUCCUCCCUCUCACAUUCCCUGCUUGACAGCAUCCUGAAGGACUCAGGGGUAAUGCCUUUGUUAAGCAAAAUAAAUAUCUGAACACCUGCAUCUAUUUAAUUUUAAUGUUUUGCUUUACUAAAUACUUCACAAUAGAAUCACAUUAAAGAGCUCAUAACCUUACCUAAUGAUCUAUUCUAGUGUUUAAUGCCACUUCUCAUUGGUAAGUUCUUUCUUAUGAUAAACUUAUAGGCAAAAAUUUCUAUCAUCAUUUUUGCCUUAGAACACUUUGCUUUUUACCACCAAUAGAGUCCUUGGCAUAUGAAUGAUAGAUCAUUGCACAACUGUUUUCCUUUUUAGAUGGAGCUUCUCAGAUAAAAGCAAAAUGAAAUGAUUUCUUAUUCAUCCUCAUGCCUCUGGAAGCAAGCACUAUGUCUGAUAUAUGCUCAAUCCUCAAUAAAUGUGUACAGAAUUCAAUUAAACUUGGAAGCUUUUGAUAGUCCCAGUA